rnacentral:rRNA from 1 species
GUCGAACGAGUUCUCGUUGAUGAUCGGUGCUUGCACCGAGAUUCAACAUGGAACGAGUGGCGGACGGGUGAGUAACACGUGGGUAACCUGCCCUUAAGUGGGGGAUAACAUUUGGAAACAGAUGCUAAUACCGCAUAGAUCCAAGAACCGCAUGGUUCUUGGCUGAAAGAUGGCGUAAGCUAUCGCUUUUGGAUGGACCCGCGGCGUAUUAGCUAGUUGGUGAGGUAAUGGCUCACCAAGGCGAUGAUACGUAGCCGAACUGAGAGGUUGAUCGGCCACAUUGGGACUGAGACACGGCCCAAACUCCUACGGGAGGCAGCAGUAGGGAAUCUUCCACAAUGGACGCAAGUCUGAUGGAGCAACGCCGCGUGAGUGAAGAAGGCUUUCGGGUCGUAAAACUCUGUUGUUGGAGAAGAAUGGUCGGCAGAGUAACUGUUGUCGGCGUGACGGUAUCCAACCAGAAAGCCACGGCUAACUACGUGCCAGCAGCCGCGGUAAUACGUAGGUGGCAAGCGUUAUCCGGAUUUAUUGGGCGUAAAGCGAGCGCAGGCGGUUUUUUAAGUCUGAUGUGAAAGCCCUCGGCUUAACCGAGGAAGCGCAUCGGAAACUGGGAAACUUGAGUGCAGAAGAGGACAGUGGAACUCCAUGUGUAGCGGUGAAAUGCGUAGAUAUAUGGAAGAACACCAGUGGCGAAAGCGGCUGUCUGGUCUGUAACUGAGGCUGAGGCUCGAAAGCAUGGGUAGCGAACAGGAUUAGAUACCCUGGUAGUCCAUGCCGUAAACGAUGAAUGCUAGGUGUUGGAGGGUUUCCGCCCUUCAGUGCCGCAGCUAACGCAUUAAGCAUUCCGCCUGCGGAGUACGACCGCAAAGUUGAAACUUAAAGGAAUUGACGGGGGCCCGCACCAUCAGUAGAAGCAUGUGGAUUCAUGUCGAAUCAACGCAGAAGAACCUUACCAAGGACCUUGACAUCAUUUUGAUC